CCUACGGGGGGCAGCAGUGAGGAAUAUUGGUCAAUGGACGAGAGUCUGAACCAGCCAAGUAGCGUGAAGGAUGACUGCCCUAUGGGUUGUAAACUUCUUUUAUAUGGGAAUAAAACGUUCCACGUGUGGGAUUUUGUAUGUACCAUAUGAAUAAGGAUCGGCUAACUCCGGGCCAGCAGCCGCGGUAAUACGGAGGAUCCGAGCGUUAUCCGGAUUUAUUGGGUUUAAAGGGAGCGUAGGUGGAUUGUUAAGUCAGUUGUGAAAGUUUGCGGCUCAACCGUAAAAUUGCAGUUGAAACUGGCAGUCUUGAGUACAGGAGAGGUGGGCGGAAUUCGUGGUGUAGCGGUGAAAUGCUUAGAUAUCACGAAGAACUCCGAUUGCGAAGGCAGUUCACUGGACUGCAACUGACACUGAGGCUCGAAAGUGUGGGUAUCAAACAGGAUUAGAUACCCUUGUAGUC
rnacentral:rRNA from 1 species